GCCUAGCCCUAAACCUUGGUAAUAUAUCACAUACCCUACCCGCCUGGGAACUACGAGCACCAGCUUAAAACCCAAAGGACUUGGCGGUGCUUUAGACCCCCCUAGAGGAGCCUGUUCUAGAACCGAUAACCCCCGUUCAACCUCACCCUUCCUUGUUUAUCCCGCCUAUAUACCGCCGUCGUCAGCUUACCCUGUGAAGGCCUAAAAGUAAGCACAACUGGUACAACCCAAAACGUCAGGUCGAGGUGUAGCGCAUGGAGGGGGAAGAAAUGGGCUACAUUCCCUAUAUUAGGGAACACGAACGGCGCACUGAAACACGCGCCUGAAGGAGGAUUUAGUAGUAAGCGGAAAAUAGCGUGUUCCGCUGAAAUCGGCCCUGAAGCGCGC
rnacentral:rRNA from 7 species